GACGUAGGAGGCGAGCGUUAUCCGGAUUCACUGGGCGUAAAGCGCAUGUAGGCGGUUGCACAAGUCCGUUGUUAAAGCCCCUGGCUCAACUGGGGGAGGUCAAUGGAGACUGUGCGACUUGAGGGCAAUAGAGGCACGUGGAACUCCCGGUGUAGAGGUGAAAUUCGUAGAUAUUGGGAAGAACACCGAUGGCGAAGGCAGCCAUCUGGACCGACACUGACGCUGAGGCGCGAAAGCGUGGGGAGCAAACAGG
rnacentral:rRNA from 1 species